GUAGACAUAGUUAAAUAAGAAUAUUAGAUUGUGAUUCUGAAGAUAAAGGAUAGAACCCUUUUGUCUACC
rnacentral:tRNA from 1 species